AUUGAACGCUGGCGGCAGGCCUUACACAUGCAAGUCGGACGAGUGGCGGACGGGUGAGUAACGCCUCGGAACGUACCGAGUAAAGGGGGAUAACUGCUGGAAAGGACAGCUAAUACCGCAUAUUAUUCGAGCGGCCGAUGUUGGAUUAGCUGGUUGGUGGGGUAACGGCUCACCAAGGCGACGAUCACUAGCUGGUCUGAGAGGAUGAUCAGCCACACUGGGACUGAGACACGGCCCAGACUCCUACGGGAGGCAGCAGUGGGGAAUAUUGCACAAUGGGCGCAAGCCUGAUGCAGCCAUGCCGCGUGUAUGAAGAAGGCCUUCGGGUUGUAAAGUACUUUUGUCAGGGAAGCGGUACCCGAAGAAGAAGCACCGGCUAACUCCGUGCCAGCAGCCGCGGUAAUAC
rnacentral:rRNA from 1 species